rnacentral:rRNA from 1 species
UACGGGGGGGGUAAGCGUUGUUCGGAAUUACUGGGCGUAAAGGGCUCGUAGGCGGCCAACUAAGUCGGACGUGAAAUCCCUCAGCUUAACUGGGGAACUGCGUCCGAUACUGGAUGGCUUGGAUUUGGGAGAGGGAUGCGGAAUUCCAGGUGUAGCGGUGAAAUGCGUAGAUAUCUGGAGGAACACCGGUGGCGAAGGCGGCAUCCUGGACCGACACUGACACUGAGGAGCGAAAGCGUGGGGAGCGAACAGG